rnacentral:rRNA from 1 species
UACGGAGGGGGCUAGCGUUGUUCGGAAUUACUGGGCGUAAAGCGCACGUAGGCGGCUUUGUAAGUCAGAGGUGAAAUCCUGGAGCUCAACUCCAGAACUGCCUUUGAUACUGAGGAUCUUGAGUACGGGAGAGGUGAGUGGAACUGCGAGUGUAGAGGUGAAAUUCGUAGAUAUUCGCAAGAACACCAGUGGCGAAGGCGGCUCACUGGCCCGUUACUGACGCUGAGGCACGAAAGCGUGGGGAGCAAACAGG